UUAGGUUUAAUAUUUCUAUUGGUCCUCAUAUUUGUGUGCAAAUCUCAGUUUGGUCUUCAAGUUUUGAACUGUCUCAAUUAAGUCAUAAUUUUUGUAAAAAUGCACACAUUUUACCUUAACCGUUAAGUUGUCUCAAAUGACGUUAAUUGAUGCUGAGAUGAUUUUUUUAUUUUAGGCUUAAUAUCUCUUUUGGUCCUUAUGUUUGUGUGAAAAUCUCAGUUCGGUCCUCAAGUUUUGAACUAUCUCAAUUGGGUCAUAAUUUUUGAACUGUCGACAACAGCGACAUUUUUUAGUAGUUUGAGAGGGAGAAAAGGUGUGAGUCGGGGGGUUUGAGGGUUUGAGGGUGGAGGAAUGAGUGAAAUGUGAUCAGUGAUUGGAAGGAAAAAGAAAGACCAUAGCCACGUGGAUUUAAUGAUUUUAAAACAUAAAAAAAAAUUACAGCUCAGUUCAAAGUUAACGUUGUCUCAAUACACUUAACGGUUGGGGUAAAAUGUUGUAAAAUGUUUGCAUUUCAUAAGGACUUGAGGAAAAAGUGUGAUAAGUGAUUGGAAGGAAAAAAAAAAGACCAUAGCCACGUGGAUUUAAUGAUUUUAAAACAUAAAAAAAAAAUUACANCUCAGUUCAAAGUUAAUGUCGUCUCAAUACACUUAAUGGUUGAGGUGAAAUGUUUGCAUUUCAUAAGGACUUGAGGAAAAACUUGAGGACCGAACUGAGAUUUUCACACAAACAUAAGAACAAAGGGAGGAAUUAAGCCUAAAAUAAAAAAUUCAUCUCAACAUCAAUUAACGUCGUUUGAGACAACUUAACGAUUAGGGUAAAAUGUGUACAUUUUUACAAAAAUUAUGACCUAAUUGAGACAGUUCAAAAUUUAAGGAUCAAACUGAGAUUGUCAUACAAAUAUGAAGACGAAUGGAGUUAUUAAGCCUAAAAAUUAAAAACUAAAAUUAAAGAGAAGUUAAAUCAAAAC
rnacentral:lncRNA from 1 species